AACGAACGCUGGCGGCGUGCCUAACACAUGCAAGUCGAGGGAGAAAGUCCGGCAAGGAUGAGUAAACCGGCGAACGGGUGCGUAACACGUGGAUAAUCUACCUCCAUGACCGGACAACUGGCCGAAAGGCUUGCUAAUACCGGAUAAGCCCACGAGGUCUUCGGACCAUGAGGGAAAAGGCGGCCUCUGUAUACAAGCUGUCACAAGGAGAUGAGUCC
rnacentral:rRNA from 1 species